rnacentral:lncRNA from 1 species
AUGAUCCCUUUGCUGGGUCUAUGUUGUGGUAGAAAUUAUGAAUGGCCUGUUAGAGACAAGGAAAUGAGGCUGAGUGUGACAUCUCCCUCAGCAUCCUGCUGCUUCUUCCAGGAUACACACACACCCCAUACGCCUCACACACCACACACCCUACACACUCCCCAGCCUCCCCACACCACACAUCCCACACACCACACCCCACACACUACACACACAUACCACAAACACACCAUACAUCACAUCACACACACCAUCAUACAUCACAUCACACACACCACAUCACACACACAACGCCAUACACACACCACACACAACACACCACACACCACAUCACACACACACCACACACCCCACAUACGACACACACCACACACAUCACAUAUACCACACUUCACACCACAUAUGCCCCCCACACCACAUCACACACACACACCACACACCACACACACCACAUACGCCACAUACACCAUACACCACACACAUCACACAUCCCAGACACACCACUCAACACAACACACACACAACAUACACAGCACACCACACAUACACCACACACCCAACAUGCUGCAUCACAUACACAUCAUACACACCAAACACUACACAUGCAACACAUACCACACACACCACACACCAUACAGCCCAGACAUCACACCACACACACAACACACAACACACACACGACAUAUACACCAAACACCACACACACCACACCACACACACAACAUACCACACCACACACACCACACACCCCACAUGCCACAUACCCCACAUACUACACACACACACCCUAUACAUCACACCACACACACCACACACACACAACACACCUCACAUGCCACACCAUAUACACAUCAGACACACCACACCACACACACACCACAGACCCCACAUACCAUACAUAUCCUACAUACCAAACACACGCACCACACAAACACACCCUAUAGACCAAACACCACACACAACACACACAUGCCAUAUACAUCAACACCAUGCACACAACACACACCACAGACCCCACACAACACACACACCCCACAUACCACACACACACCACACAGCACACCACACAUAUCAUACACCACACACACACCAUGA